rnacentral:rRNA from 1 species
AUACGUAUGGUGCAAGCGUUAUCCGGAUUUACUGGGUGUAAAGGGUGCGUAGGUGGCAUGGUAAGUCAGAUGUGAAAACUAUGGGCUCAACCCAUAGACUGCAUUUGAAACUGCCGAGCUAGAGUGCAGGAGAGGAAAGUGGAAUUCCUAGUGUAGCGGUGAAAUGCGUAGAUAUUAGGAGGAACACCAGUGGCGAAGGCGGCUUUCUGGACUGUUACUGACACUGAGGCACGAAAGCGUGGGGAGCGAACAGGAUUAGAUACCCUGGUAGCCCACGCCGUAAACGAUGAAUACUAGGUGUUGGGGAGUAAAUCCUCGGUGCCGUCGCUAACGCAUUAAGUAUUCCACCUGGGGAGUACGUUCGCAAGAAUAAAACUCAAAGGAAUUGACGGGG